rnacentral:rRNA from 1 species
UACGUAGUAUGCAAGCGAUGUCCGGGUUUAUUGGGUUUAAAGGGUGCGUAGGCGGCCUAUUAAGUUAGUGGUGAAAACGUUCGGCUUAACCGGAUACCCGCCAUUGAUACUGAUAGACUUGAGUGCGACAGAGGGUGUUGGAAUGUGUGGUGUAGCGGUGAAAUGCUUAGAUAUCACGCAGAACACCAAUUGCGAAGGCAGAUGCCUAUGUCGUAACUGACGCUGAGGCACGAAAGCGUGGGGAGCAAACAGG